GCCUGGGUGGCUCAGUCGGUUGAGCGUCCGACUUCAGCUCAGGUCACGAUCUCACGGUUCGUGGGUUUGAGCCCCACGUCGGGCU
rnacentral:tRNA from 1 species